rnacentral:misc_RNA from 1 species
GAACUGCGAUAAGUAAUGUGAAUUGGAGAAUUCAGUGAAUCAUCGAGUCUUUGAACGCACAUUGCGCCCCCUGGCAUUCCGGGGGGCAUGCCUGUCCGAGCGUCAUUGCUGCCCUUCAAGCCCGGCUUGUGUGUUGGGUCGUCGUCCCCUCCGGGGGACGGGCCCGAAAGGCAGCGGCGGCACCGCGUCCGGUCCUCGAGCGUAUGGGGCUUUGUCACCCGCUCGAUAAGGACCGGCCGGGCGCCAGCCGGCGUCUCCAACCUUUUUUUCUCAGGUUGACCUCGGAUCAGGUAGGGAUACCCGCUGAACUUAAGC